AAACGCUCAAUACUGGAGGUCACCACUAGAGGCAGCACACAGCACUUGGACUGUGAAAUAGUGAAAAGGUCAAUCUACCGGCCACCAAAGGCUUCAACC